CAGUACAUAAUUGUGGACAGAUGAAAUGCACGUGGGCAUCAAAACCACCAGCUGUAAGAAUUAAUCCUUCACCUGCAAUUACUUCAGUAUGAGUCCCAACAAUUAAAUUUGGUGUCACAUUCUCCAUCACAUCCGGAUUUCCACCUUUUCCAAUGGCGCAAAUGAGUCCAUUUUUCACUCCAACGUCUGCUUUGUAAAUACCUGUAUAGUCGACUAUUAAAGCAUUUGUAAUGAUAGUGUCAACGACGUAAUCUGACAAUUUACGAGAAGCUUGCCCCAUUCCUUCCCG
rnacentral:sRNA from 1 species